GAUGAACGCUGGCGGCGUGCCUAAUACAUGCAAGUCGAGCGAACAGACGAGGAGCUUGCUCCUCUGACGUUAGCGGCGGACGGGUGAGUAACACGUGGAUAACCUACCUAUAAGACUGGGAUAACUUCGGGAAACCGGAGCUAAUACCGGAUAAUAUAUUGAACCGCAUGGUUCAAUAGUGAAAGACGGUUUUGCUGUCACUUAUAGAUGGAUCCGCGCCGCAUUAGCUAGUUGGUAAGGUAACGGCCUACCAAGGCAACGAUGCGUAGCCGACCUGAGAGGGUGAGCGGCCACACUGGAACUGAGACACGGUCCAGACUCCUACGGGAGGCAGCAGUAGGGAAUCUUCCGCAAUGGGCGAAAGCCUGACGGAGCAACGCCGCGUGAGUGAUGAAGGUCUUCGGAUCGUAAAACUCUGUUAUUAGGGAAGAACAAAUGUGUAAGUAACUAUGCACGUCUUGACGGUACCUAAUCAGAAAGCCACGGCUAACUACGUG
rnacentral:rRNA from 1 species